UCCGUAGGUGAACCUGCGGAGGGAUCAUUACAGAGUUACCCGACUCACCAAACCCAUGUGAACUUACCUAUGUUGCCUCGGCGGGGAAGCCUACCCGGUGCCUACCCUGUAGUUACCCGGGAGCGAGCUACGCUGUAGCCCGCUGCAGGCCAACCCGCCGGUGGACUGUUAAACUCUUGUUAUAGUGGAACUUCUGAUUUUUUAUACUUAAUAAGUUAAAACUUUCAACAACGGAUCUCUUGGUUCUGGCAUCGAUGAAGAACGCAGCGAAAUGCGAUAAGUAAUGUGAAUUGCAGAAUUCAGUGAAUCAUCGAAUCUUUGAACGCACAUUGCGCCCAUUAGUAUUCUAGUGGGCAUGCCUGUUCGAGCGUCAUUUCAACCCUCAAGCCCCAGUUGCUUGGUGUUGGGAGUUUACCUGCGGGUAAUUCCUGAAAAGCAUCGGCGGAGUCGUGCUGGCCCCAAGCGUAGUAAUUUUUCUCGCUUCCGGUGGUUCUAGCGCUGGCGUCCGGCCGCUAAACCCCCUAUUUUCUAGUGGUUGACCUCGGAUCAGGUAGGAAUACCCGCUGAACUUAAGCAUAUCAAUAAGCGGAGGA
rnacentral:rRNA from 2 species